rnacentral:rRNA from 1 species
GGUGUUCUUCCCGAUAUCUACACAUUCCACCGUUACACCGGGAAUUCCAGUCUCCCCUACCACACUCUAGCCUGCCCGUACCCGGCGCAGAUCCACCGUUAAGCGAUGGACUUUCACACCAGACGCGACAAACCGCCUACGAGCUCUUUACGCCCAAUAAUUCCGGAUAACGCUUGCACCCUACGUAUUACCGCGGCUGCUGGCACGUAGUUAGCCGGUGCUUAUUCGAAAGGUACACUCACUUGCGCUUGCUCCCUAACAAAAGCGGUUUACAACCCGAAGGCCGUCAUCCCGCACGCGGCGUCGCUGCAUCAGGCUUGCGCCCAUUGUGCAAUAUUCCCCACUGCUGCCUCCCGUAGGAGUCUGGGCCGUAUCUCAGUCCCAAUGUGGCCGGUCGCCCUCUCAGGCCGGCUACCCGUCGUAGGCUUGGUAGGCCAUUACCCCACCAACUACCUGAUAGGACGCGACCCCAUCCCAUACAGAUAAAUCUUUCCCACAAUCACAUGUGAUCAUGUGGAGCAUACGGCAUUACCACCCGUUUCCAGGA